GAUGAACGCUGGCGGCGUGCCUAACACAUGCAAGUCGAGCGAACAGACGAUGAGCUUGUGCCUCUGACGUUAGCGGCGGACGGGCGAGUAACACGUGGAUAACCUACUUAUAAUACUGGGAUAACUUCGGGAAACCGGAUCUACUACCGCAGAAUAUAUUGAACCGCAUGGUUCAAUAGUGAAUGACGGUUUUGCUGUCACUUAUAGAUGGAUCCGCGCCGCAUUAGCUAGUUGGUAAGGUAACGGCUUACCAAGGCAACGAUGCGUAGCCGACCUGAGAGGAUGAUCGGCCACACUGGAACUGAGACACGGUCCAGACUCCUACGGGAGGCAGCAGUGGGGAAUCUUGGGCAAUGGGCGAAAGCUUGACGGAGCAACGCCGCGUGAGUGAUGAAGGUCUUCGGAUCGUAAAACCCUGUUAUUAGGGAAGAACAACUGUGGAAGAAAACAUGCACGUCUUGACGGUACCUAAUCAAAAAGCACCGGCUAACUACGUG
rnacentral:rRNA from 1 species